AUGAACCCGAAGAGGGAACAAUAUAUCUAUCUGAAGACAUCGUUGUGCCAGUGGAUGCGUGUAAAACUGAACACGCUAAAGAACCACAAGCCNNNNNNNNNNUCCGAAGCUGUUCCAGCACCAACAUUAGAUUCAGAGGAAGGCAGCAUGCAAUCACCAAAUGAAGAAGUCAAAUCAGAAGACAUUCCAACAGCAGAGACAGUUUCAGAUGAACCCAAAGAGUCACCAGAGGUUCUCCCUGAAGUCAGUGUUGAGCCAGAAAACAGAGACCUAGUGAAGGUCAUGGAAACAAUUCAUGCAACAGAAGUAUUAGAGGAUGUUCAAGCACCUACAACAGAUUUAGAGGAGGACAUUGCCCAAUCACUUGAAAUAGACCCUCAAGGAGAGGAAACAGUUCCAAAUGAACCCAAUGAGACAGAACAGCAUCUCACUGAGGUCCGCGUUGAGCCGGUGGACGCUUCCAAAACCGAACAAGUAAUUCAACCUCUACAAGCAGCCGCCGAUUCAGAGGAAUGCAGCGCUCAAUUACUUGAGAAGAAGCUUAUAACAGAGGACGUUACAGAAGGAGAAACCGUUACUGAUGAACCCGAACAAGAAGUUUCUACUCUCACUGAAGCCAAUCUUAAGAAAGUGGACGUUUCCACAACUGGACCACAAGUACUACAAGCUGAACCAGCACAAGAACCACAAGCAUCCGAAGCUGUUCCAGCACCAACAUUAGAUUCAGAGGAAGGCAGCAUGCAAUCACCAAAUGAAGAAGUCAAAUCAGAAGACCCACCAGAUUCGGAGGGGGCAAUGCUUCUGUCACCUGAAAAGGAAGUAAUAUCUGAGGAUAUUCCAGUAGUGGAAACAAUUACAGAUGAGCCCGAACGGGAAAAUCAAGUUGAGCUAGAACAAACACCAGUAGAAGCUGUGGAAACAGAACGUGCUGAAGAACCAGAAGCAUUACCAUCUGACGUAAUAGAUAGUCUAACUGAAACAAAAAUGCUUGCAGGGACAUCGACGUGUAUGCAAGAAGUCACAGAAAGUAUUGAGGGAGGAACAACUCUGGGACUUGAGAAAACAAUAUUGUUGGAUGACGUCCCUAAACCAGACACUGGUAGCGUCAUUGCUUCGGUUACAGAGGAAGGUCCCUCUUUAGAGAAAGCAGAGGACCAGAACACAGAGAGAACUACACCAGAUACUGGGAUUGAGCAGGAAGGUCACAUACCUGCAGGUGUAGACCAGUUACUAACAUUAACAGCAGCUUGUGUAUCCGCUGGGAAAGAGGAAGCAGUAAACGUCCUAGAGGUACUAGAAAAGACUGUAUUGACUGAAGACACUCCAGCAAACAAUGCUGCCGUUACAGAUGAACCCAAACACGAAGAGCAUCCAAGCACAGUGCAAGACGCCGUUGAGGGACCAAAUGAAAGUGAGCGUUCAGGCGCUGGGAUGAAGGCCGCUCCCGCUGAGCACGCCGUGGUGGCGCAAGUAGUCGUGUGUAACAUAAAAGAUGCCUUAGUUGCAAUACCUGAUAUUUUGAUAGAGAAAACAUCCCCCAUCACCGAACCCUUGAGAGAAAUAGUCACACGGGAGCUAAUGUCCAAAGAGCAUGUGGAAACCUCGGCGCUGUUGGUGCCGGACGAGGAGGCCGAGGCAGCCGGGGAAAGCAGUGUGGUUGUGAUGAUGCACGUGCCGUCGGUGGAGUUGGAGGACAAUCACAGAAUUCAAGUGCAGGUAGUCGGCGAUGAUAUCAAGUCAGCCGAGUCGAGUGUGGACACGGUGCUCGAGGUUGGGAUAACGCGGGUCAAAGAAGUCAUCGACGGUUGUCACGGCGACGUUGAAAACGAUUUCUACGCAACUCCACUGAUUGAAGAGGAAUUAAUUAAUGAGCAGGACAAGGUGACCAUUGAAGGAGUCAUCCUGCACGUAAAGGAAACCCUACCAGAGAAAGAAGGCGAAUCGACGCAAGAAGGCGCUGAACAGCCGGAUGAUGUGACAGAAGAGAGUGAGACGGUUGAAAGCGAAUCAAAUGAAGUGGACGAUCAAAAAGAGACAGCUGGCAGUGGAGCGUGUUCCCUGGAAAGAAUCGGGGAUGUCGCCGCAACGGGACAGCGAGGGGCCGAGGAUCUCCUGACCACAGCUGAUAUUCCAGCACGUUUAGAUGUCCCGUUCCAUCCGCAAAGAGACGAAUCAGAGGAAACCAAAGUAGAAGAGCGCAAAGAAGCACAAAUGAUCCAAACUCUGAUUGUAACACCUGCUGCCACCCAAAACACGGAAGUCAUCUCGUCCGUAGGUAACGGGGACUCCUCCUCAUGUCUCUCCAUUGAAUUGAAACUUAACAUAAAUUUUGGCCAGCCAAAUAAACCAGCUUCCCCACCGCCUACAACGGAAAGAUCUGGACCUGCGAACAAGGCAGACGUGUCUGAGGUCGGAGUUCAGGCAGCAGAGGUCGAACCCGUGACGACAAUCAAACAGAUAGAGUUAGCGGGGCUCGCUGUUCAGGGGACAGCAAACACAGAACCAGCGGAAAAUAUGGAUUCAACGGAGAGAUCCGUGACUGCGACUCAACCGGUACUGCUGCAAAUCAGCGUCCAAGCGAUGGAAGCAGAAGAACAAAUGAAACCAGCAGAGACGGUGACCUCCAGUGACACCGAAACAAAACAAGCAGUGGGGCAGACAGAAACAACGGAAGGGUCCCCCACUCACCAGGGACUCUCUGAAGCUGCAGAGCAACAAACAGAAACAAAAACGCCCGCUAAACAAAAAGAGGAGGAGCAGGAUGUGUGGAUGGAUGCUGAGGAAGAUGUCUACACUCAAGAGAAAACAGAUGCGUGCCGUCUGCAGGUGGAGGAACCUCCAGGAGAGGCCGAGGCGGGACUUGAACGCGUGGUUGAAAUGGCUCCUGAUUCCAAGACUGAGGAAGAAGAAAGUCAACAGAAAAUGCUCAAGACGGCAGAAAGAUGUGGAACUGAUAGUGAAUGUGAGGAUUUUGCUUUCGCACCAGAGCAUCCUGAAAUUGAAACUGUGAGAGUCACAACAAUGGAGUGA
ensembl:lncRNA